UGGGCUCUAGAGCGCAGGUUCAGUAGUUGUGGCGCAUGGGCUUAGUUGCUCCGCGGCAUGUGGGAUCUUCCCGGACCAGGGCUCGAACCCGUGUCCCUUGUAGUGGCAGGCAGAUUCUUAACCACUGCGCCACCAGAGAAGCCCCUUUACUUGUCUUUUAUUUUCUGGUGAGGGUUUGUUUUUGUUCCCUCUUCCUUUGUCACUUUUCCAGCUUGAAAUACAUCCCUCGCUGUCAUUUUGCAAUUCUCAGAACUGGAAAGAAAACCAGUAGGAAAACAGAAAAAUGGCAUUAACCUGUUAUUAUCAUAAUUAUUGUUCCUUUUGUAUCAAAGUCUGGAGGAAGCAUCUAAUUGUAACUGGCCUUUGGGGACAGCAGUGAACAAGCAUAGUUUUUGUACAGAAAUGCCCUUGGUUCUUAGGAGGUUGAGGGUUUGACACCAAGAACCAUGGACACGCAUAUACAAUGGAAGUGACCAAAUGUCCUAAUUUUAUUGGAUUAAUUCUAACUUCUUUCUGCCUUUGAUCCCUCAUCCUUUACUAUGAGACCCUAGCCAGGUCUCUUGAGCUCUCUUGGCUUCCACUGGGGCUAAUAAGAUCUUACCUGAAGUCAGGGGCAGGACCACAUCAUCUCUGAAGGCCCCUGGGUACUAAGAGCUACAAUCCUAUGAAUACUCUUUAUUCAGAAGUCCCCCAAACAAAGUCACAAUCCAGCAUAAUUUUAGAACUCCCACUCUCCACAGAAGCAUUAUGAGAUAAGAAAACAGUGCUAAAGAAAGGAGAUAGUAUAUACAUCAGAAUACAGUUCUCUAAAAUGUGCAUCUCUGCGUCGGGAAGUUGUAGUGGGGGUUUCAUCUGCACUCUUUCCAGGUGGCCCCGGGACAGAGCAUUGAUGCUCUUUUGGAGUCUUAUGUGAACCAGGACUGUGCUGGGCACUUCGCGUAUAUUGCCAUUUAACGUUUGGAAGAAACGUGUGGUGCGCUUAUUUAUAGAUGAUGAAGCUGAAAUCCAGGAAGUUAACUAGCUCAAGCUAAGUGAUGGUAAAGGUGACCUUCAAACCUAGUGGGCCUGACACCAGAACUCACACUCUAAAUCACAUUUAAUGCUUGCCUGUGUAGACACCCGGACUCUUAUGUCUGUGAAGAGUUUGUUAGUGAUGGCUAGGUUCUGGGGACUUGAGGGUAAAAAAUAAAGCAGUAAAGAAUGUCACCUAACUGGAUGCCUAGAAGGCAGGGAACUCCCAUCGGGGUUUGGAGAGAGUGAAGGUGUGUGACCUCUCAUAGCACUCGGGUCUUGCCAUCAGGGAAGUUUUCUCAGGUGUUCUGGUCCUGACCUAUCUGUCUAAGGUGUGUCUAAGGUUGAAGGUUGAAGGAAGGAGCAUGUUCCUCUGAGGCAGGAACAUUCCUCUGGGAACCGCAGGGCGUGGUGGUGACGUGAGGACAUGGGCAGGCAGAGCAGCGACCGGAUGGACAGCAACAGUGGGGGAGCCAGACAGCCGUGGGAGCAGAGCCCUGCACAGCUGUGUGGGGGUGUGGAGGCCCGGGGGGCCGGGUGUGGAGAUCCUCAGAGCAGGCUGGGGCACACGGAGCCUAGUGCCACUGUGAUGCGUCACCUGUCCUCCAGGCUGCUGGGACUUGGGGAAAUGACUGUUACCAUGCAUGUAGAUGGAUCUGUUAUGUUUAGAACGUCUUCCUCCAAACUGGGCUGUCUAAAUGUACUCUUCUACUGCUAUAGCUGCCUUUCCAAAAGUCUCCUGUGCAGGAUGCAGGAAUCCAGACGUGGCUGACUGUUGCCGGGGGACUGCAGGUGGGGCUCAGAGAGCCUUCGGGUUGCCUGGCGCCGGUGAAGUUCCUCCCGCAGGAGGGCUGGCUCCAGGGGCAGUGGCCUCGCUAUACCCAGGCUGCUCGUGCAGACGGCCUCCCUGAGGUUCAAGCCAAGAAUAGGGAGUGACAACUGUGAGAACUCAAGCUUAGCUUUUUUUCCCAGCAAUUCUUUUCAAAAUUUUAAUUUUAGCAGUUUUUAAUUAUGUGAUGAAUACCUGCAUAUAUUCUCUGUACACAUUUAAGCAUUACAAAUAAAGUGGAAAUCCACUUUGACUGCCAUUCCUGAUUCCAUCCCCGUGGCUGAAUAAAAUAUAAGUUUAUUUUACAGAC